rnacentral:rRNA from 1 species
UACGGGGGGGGGCAAGCGUUGUUCGGAAUUACUGGGCGUAAAGGGCUCGUAGGCGGCCAACUAAGUCAGACGUGAAAUCCCUCGGCUUAACCGGGGAACUGCGUCUGAUACUGGAUGGCUUGAGUUUGGGAGAGGGAUGCGGAAUUCCAGGUGUAGCGGUGAAAUGCGUAGAUAUCUGGAGGAACACCGGUGGCGAAGGCGGCAUCCUGGACCAACACUGACGCUGAGGAGCGAAAGCCAGGGGAGCAAAACGGAG